GACGAACGCUGGCGGCGUGCUUAACACAUGCAAGUCGAACGAAGUGGCGAACGGGUGAGUAACGCGUAAUCAACCUGCCCUUCAGAGGGGGACAACAGUUGGAAACGACUGCUAAUACCGCAUACUGAAGGAGGGGAUUGCGUCUGAUUAGCGAGUUGGAGGGGUAACGGCCCACCAAGGCGAUGAUCAGUAGCCGGGCGGGGAGGAUGAACGGCCACAUUGGGACUGAGAAACGGCCCAGACUCCUACGGGGUGCAGCAGUGGGGAAUCUUCCGCAAUGGACGAAAGUCUGACGGAGCAACGCCGGGGGAGUGAUGACGGCCUUCGGGUUGUAAAGCUCUGUUAAUCGGGACGCGGUACCGGAAUAGAAAGCCACGGCUAACUACGUGCCAGCAGCCGCGGUAAUAC
rnacentral:rRNA from 1 species